CACGUAGGGCGCAAGCGUUGUCCGGAAUUAUUGGGCGUAAAGAGCUCGUAGGCGGUCUGUUGCUUCCGCUGUGAAAACUCGGGGCUUAACCCCGAGCCUGCAGUGGAUACGGGCAGACUAGAGGUAGGUAGGGGAGAAUGGAAUUCCCGGUGUAGCGGUGAAAUGCGCAGAUAUCGGGAGGAACACCGGUGGCGAAGGCGGUUCUCUGGGCCUUACCUGACGCUGAGGAGCGAAAGCGUGGGGAGCGAACAGG
rnacentral:rRNA from 1 species